CAGUCGCCGCGGUAACACGAAGGGUGCAAGCGUUAAUCGGAAUUACUGGGCGUAAAGUGUGCGUAGGCGGUUUGUUAAGUCUGUUGUGAAAUCCCCGGGCUCAACCUGGGAAUGGCAAUGGAUACUGGCAAGCUAGAGUGUGUCAGAGGAUGGUGGAAUUCCCGGUGUAGCGGUGAAAUGCGUAGAGAUCGGGAGGAACAUCAGUGGCGAAGGCGGCCAUCUGGGACAACACUGACGCUGAGGCACGAAAGCGUGGGGAGCAAACAGGAUUAGAUACCCCCGUAGUCCCUGUCUCUUAUAC
rnacentral:rRNA from 1 species